GACGAACGCUGGCGGCGUGCUUAACACAUGCAAGUCGAACGGAAAGGCCCUGAGUUUGUGGGGUGCUCGAGGGGCGAACGGGGGCGUAACACGUGAGUAACCUGCCCUUGACUUUCGGGGGACUUCACGAAGCUGGAGCUAAUACCGGACAGGAGACGCUGCUGCGUUGAGGGGGGUGGAAAUUUUCGGCGGGUGGGGAUGGAUUCGCGGCUGAUCGGCUUGCUGGUGGGGUAGUGGCUUACCAAGGCUGUGGCCGGUAGCCGGCCUGAGAGGGUGGCCGGCCACAUUGCGCCUGCGGUACGGCCCAGACUCGUAUGGGGGGCAGCAGUGGCGAAUAUUGCACAGUGAGCGGAAGCCUGAUGCAGAGGCGUCGCGUGUGUGAUGACGGUCUUCGGGUUGUAAACCGCUUUCGCCUGUGACGAAGCGUGAGUGACGGUAAUCGGUAAAUAAGCACCGGCUAACUACGUG
rnacentral:rRNA from 1 species